rnacentral:tRNA from 1 species
GGGCCUAUAGCUCAGUUUGGCAGAGCGCACGCCUUAUAAGCGGGAGGGCGAUAGUUCAAAUCUAUCUAGGCCCACCA